rnacentral:rRNA from 1 species
GCGGUAACGACGGGUAACGGGGAAUCAGGGUUCGAUUCCGGAGAGGGAGGCCCGACGAAACGGACUACCACUUCCAAGGAAGGCAGCAGGCGCGCAACUUACCCUAACUCUCGAUUCGAGGAGGUAGUGACAAGAAAUAACCGAUGCGGGACCCGUACCGGGUGCCGCGUUCGGAAUGAGUACGAUUCGAACCACCUAACGAGGAACGAUCGGAGGGCAAGUCUGGUGCCAGCAGCCGCGGUAAUUCCAGCUCCAAUAGCGUACGUUAAAGUUGCUGCAGUUAAAAAGACUCGUAGUUGAACGUUCGGGUUCCGCGGGACGGGGCCGCCCCGCGAGGGACGGCGCCGCCCCGGGGCGUCGUGAUAUCUCAUCUCGCCGCCCGUCGCGAGGCGGACGGAGGGAGUGGAUGAGGUUACCUGGAAAAAAUACGGGG